AGAGAGAGACAUGCGCGCAUAUCAAUAAGCGGAGGAAAAGAAACUAACUAGGAUUCCCUCAGUAACGGCGAGUGAAGCGGGAAGAGCUCAAAUUUGAAAUCUUCAAGGUUCUACCUUGACGAAUUGUAGUUUAAAGAAGUGUUUUCUGUUGGAGUUUUGGUAAAAGUUCUUUGGAAUAGGACAUCAUAGAGGGUGAGAAUCCCGUAUUUGACCAUUAUUUCCAGCUUUGUGAUACACUUUCAAAGAGUCGGAUUGUUUGGGAAUGCAGUCCAAAAUGGGUGGUAAAUUUCAUCUAAAGCUAAAUAUUGGCGAGAGACCGAUAGCGAACAAGUACCGUGAGGGAAAGAUGAAAAGAACUUUGAAAAGAGAGUUAAACAGUACGUGAAAUUGUCAAAAGGGAAGCGUUUGACACCAGUGUUGUUUUCUCGAAAAUCAAUUAAAAAAGGCAGGAUUUUGUGUUGUAUUGACUUUAUCAGCUAUCUGCACUCUUUUCUUGUCUUUUUUAAUGCACUUUUCGUUUAACAAGUCAACAUCAAUUUCUUUUGUUGUAAAAGGGUCAUUGGAAGGUGGCUUUCUUUUCGGAGAAAGUGUUUAUAGCCUUUGGCCUCUGCAAUCGGAGAGAUUGAGGUCUGCAGCGUAGAUCCUUCGGGGUUAGAUACAUUUGUGCUAAGUUAUAGCCUUUCAUAGACAACUUGUUGACUAUGAUCAGUCAUGUAGCUUACUCGCUUAUGCUAUUUUACCUACGCUUAGGAUGUUGAUGUGAUACUGCGAGCA
rnacentral:rRNA from 1 species